GCGGCCCACGCUGCCCCCGGGUGGUCGCCGUGCACUCUCUGUCUCAAGAUUCAUCAAAGAUUGCGCAACAAACCUUGAUCUUUGGCAAAGGCGCUCUGGUCUCAGUAAAUGCUGAAGUCCUAAAACCACGAGAGGAAAUGGGUGCGUCGGAGCCUGAAACCAGGGCGAACACGCCACGUGCUCCCGGAUCUUCAGAGCCACUGGCUGCAGAUCUGGUACUGCGGGCUGCUCAGGGCCCUGGUGUUCCUCCCAGGCAGCAGGACCUUGGCUUCUGGUCUGAGUGAGGGGCGUGCUUCCUCUCCUGCUCAGAAUUGAAUACCGGCUGACCCCAGUGAUCACUCCAGCUCUUUGAAGCUAACAUCAGCCCACCUGCUCCCUGUAAACAGUAAUACACGGACAGUACCUAUAGCAUAAACGUGAUAGGGGUUCCUUUGACGAAGACAUGACACGGGUUGGAAUGUUCAUCUCUUCAUGAUGGUGUGCCAGGAUGCAUAAAUGGUACCAUGUGAUGAGAAAGAAGUGGCUUUGAAAGAAGCAGCCAUCAGAAGAGACCAAGAAGACAGAGGAAAGGACUCUGAGGGGAACGUACAUGCUCCUUCUAUCACCACCUUUCCCUUGGGGUGUGCGUGUGUGUGUGUGUGUGUGUGUGUGUAUGUGUGUGUAGCUUGUGUGUGUGUGCACUUGCCUGUGGUAGCUUGUGUGUGUGUGUGCACUUGCCUGUGGUAGCUUGUGUGUGUGUGUAUACUUGCUUGUGGUAGCUUUGUGUGUGUGUGUGUAUGUGUGUAUACUUGCCUGUGGUAGCUUGUGUGUGUGUGUGUGUGUGCACUUGCCUGUGGUAGCUUGUGUGUGUGUGUGUGUGUAUGUGUGUGUGUGUGUGUGUGCACUUGCCUGUGGUAGCUUGUGUGUGUGUGUGUGUGUGUGUGCACUUGCCUGUGGUAGCUUGUGUGUGUGUGUGUGUGUGUGCACUUGCCUGUGGUAGUUUGUAAAUAUCAGAGGCUGAGAGGCUGAUUUCAGGAUAUCCUCUUUAAUCCUCUCUCAAACCUUUUUGUUGUUAUUUUGUUUGUUUGUUUGUUUGUUUGUUUGUGGGUAGUUUGUUUUGUUUUUUCAAGACGGUGAUUUUCUGUGUAGCCCUGGCUGUUCUGGACACUCAAAGACCUGCCUGUCUCUGCCUCCCAAGGGCUGGGAUUAAAGGAUUUAAAUCUCUU
rnacentral:lncRNA from 1 species